UCCAGAUGAUGCCAACGCCAAAGCUAU
rnacentral:sRNA from 1 species